GAUGAACGCUGGCGGCGUGCCUAAUACAUGCAAGUCGAACGGAGAUUGUAGCAAUACGGUCUUAGUGGCGAACGGGUGAGUAACACGUAGGAAUCUACCCUAAAGCGGGGGACAACCCGAGGAAACUCGGGCUAAUACCGCAUAAUCUCUGAGGAGAAAAGCUGGGGCAACCUGGCACUUUAGGAGGAGCCUGCGUCUGAUUAGCUAGUUGGUAGGGUAAAGGCCUACCAAGGCGACGAUCAGUAGCUGGUCUGAGAGGAUGAUCAGCCACACUGGGACUGAGACACGGCCCAGACUCCUACGGGAGGCAGCAGUGGGGAAUAUUUGACAAUGGGGGCAACCCUGAUCCAGCAAUGCCGCGUGUGUGAAGAAGGCCUUCGGGUUGUAAAGCACUUUAGGCGGGGAAGAAGGUUCGGAGUUUAAGAGACACUGUACUUGACGUUACACGCAGAAUAAGCACCGGCUAACGCUGUGCCAGCCGCCGCAGUAAAAC
rnacentral:rRNA from 1 species